AGGUCCCACCAUCGGUAGCGUGCUAAUAACAACCAGCCUCCGCGAAGUAAUACCUAACGGUGGUCCCGCGGGGGAGAGUGGUAGAAGAAGUGUGUGGGGGGGGGGGGGGUAGUUUUUAGUACGUAUGCGCCAUGGAUGGCGAAUCGUGCAUGCUGCUACUAAGAACCAGCAGUAUCUUUUGAAGAUUUUCUACCUCCAGCUCACC
rfam:Glossina morsitans morsitans, isolate Yale, WGS project CCAG01000000 data, contig: ctg10009420